GUCCCGGUAGCGGAUGGUCCGUACCUGCUCCCAAUUACUGGAAUAUUCGGAUCCAUUGCGCAGCAUUCGCUCGUUCGAAUCGAGCCCGGGCCG